CACUCCUUACGGGGGAGACAGUCAUGAGACGUGAGUAUAAGACCUGAGUGUAAAGACCUUAGGGUGAAGCAAUUGGAGGGCAAGCUUUGGUGCCAGCAGCCGCGGUAACUCCAACUCCAAGAGUGUCUAUGGUGGAUGCUGCAGUUAAAGGGUCCGUAGUCGUGAAUGCAAUUAAAUGUCGUUGUUCAAUAGCGAUGAGUUUGCUAAUGUUUGCGGAACGGAUAGGGAGUGUAGUAUAGACUGGCGAAGAAUGAAAUCUCAAGACCCAGUUUGGACUAACGGAGGCGAAGGCGACACUCUUAGACGUAUCUUAGGAUCAAGGACGAAGGCAGGAGUAUCGAAAGUGAUUAGACACCGCUGUAGUUCCUGCAGUAAACUAUGCCGACAGCCUGUGUGUGAGAAUACGUGGGCGGGAGAAAUCUUAGUGUUCGGGCUCUGGGGAUAGUACGCUCGCAAGGGUGAAACUUAAAGCGAAAUUGACGGAAGGACACUACCAGGAGUGGAUUGUGCUGCUUAAUUUAACUCAACGCGGGAAAACUUACCAGGGUCAAGUCAUUCGUUGAUCGAAUACGUGAGAAUGGCAGGA
rnacentral:rRNA from 1 species